AGAGUUUGAUCCUGGCUCAGAACGAACGCUGGCGGCGUGCUUAACACAUGCAAGUCGAACGGGAUCCAGAGCUUGCUCUGGUGAGAGUGGCGCACGGGUGAGUAACGCGUGGAUAACCUGCCCUGGUAUCCGGAAUAACAUCUCGAAAGGGGUGCUAAUACCGGAUAAGCCUACGGAGCCUUCGGUCUCUGCAGGAAAAGGUGGCCUCUAUUUAUAAGCUACCGUAUCAGGAUGGGUCCGCGUACCAUUAGCUAGUUGGUGGGGUAAUGGCCUACCAAGGCGACGAUGGUUAGCUGGUCUGAGAGGAUGAUCAGCCACACUGGAACUGAGACACGGUCCAGACUCCUACGGGAGGCAGCAGUGGGAAAUUUUGCGCAAUGGGGGAAACCCUGACGCAGCAACGCCGCGUGAGUGAUGAAGGCUUUCGGGUCGUAAAGCUCUGUCAGAGGGGAAGAAAUGAGAUUGGCUAAUAUCCAAUUUUCUUGACGGUACCCUCAAAGGAAGCACCGGCUAACUCCGUGCCAGCAGCCGCGGUAA
rnacentral:rRNA from 1 species